rnacentral:lncRNA from 1 species
GGAGACUUUAUUUAUUACUUUUUUAUUUACUACUAUUGAACUAAACUUUUUUUCAGGAAAAAGGGAAAAUCAUUUAUAAGGGGGGGUGACAUAAAGGGUUAAUACGACCAAAAAUAGAAUAAAAGCUAAGUGACUUGUAAAAAUAAUUUUUUACACAUGUAUAUAUUAUUUUUAUUUUCUCUAAUUUAACAUUAUCAUCUAAAUUAAUUAUCUCUUUUUCAUAGCUCAGGGGAUGACCUAAAGGGAUGAACUUAAGGGUUGACAAAGACCAAGAAGUAGAACAAAAACCAGGUAAAAUUAUUUGUAUAUAAAUAAAUAUAUGUAUAAAUAAGAGGAAUGUCUAUCAUAGGAGAAUAAUUAAAUUAAACCAAAAUCACAUAAAAUAAUUAGUCAACUAUCAUGAUAAAUAAAUAAGAAGGGGAGGAAACAUCAAAUUUGGGCCCUGGGCCCAAAUUCUGCUGCUGCAGGUCUUAGGGCAUUUAGGCCUAUUUUCUUUCCAAAGUCAUGAUACAUUUUUGAGUGUAUAUUCUAUGCAUAAGCUGUGUAUAUUGACGAGUUUUGCGCUCCUGAACCUGAAAUUUAAACCAAAACUUUGUAUUUUUGCGUUUUUAACUUCCUGGAAACGUUUUCCAACUGCAUAUUGUAUAUUCACAUUGUAUACCAGUGUAUACGGGAUGUAUAUCGACCUGUUUUUCGGCUUUUCGGGGACCUGCAAAUUAAUUCCCAGCAACAAAUUUGCUGAUUUUGAUCUGUACACCAGUUAUAACGGGAUGGACGACUCGGAUACGGUGGUGUGAGCCUUUACGUCUCGAUGAGAGGAUGCAAAUGGAUGAAGUAAAGUCCGUAAGGACCCGAAGAAAUUUUUUACAUGCGAUAAAAUAGAAAUGGGUUAGCAUAUGAAAUAAUAUAAGAAACAAGAUAUAUAUUAAAAGAAAGCAGAUAUUACUUUUAAAAAUAAAGGAAAGCUACUUAAGGGAUUUGAAUGAGGCUAAAAUACAUGACUCUAAGGAAGACCAAGUGAAUAGCACAAACAAAAUCUUUAAAAAAAUAAAAAACUCUCUAGACAGUAGCAUGUAUUGUGCGUGUAUGCAUACUUAAGAACAUACCAUGCUCAGGGAACAUAUAGAUAAUUCAACUCAAAUGUAUUAACAGAAAACAUGCUGCAUAUUUAUUCCAAUGGAACACCUCCUGCCAAAGUCAAGAUAAUUCAUUCGGUGAGAUCUUACAUUGCUAAAUCCAACCUUUUAAACAAAGAGAAAACUAGUAAGAUCUUUUUUUUUUCUUUCCCAAACCAUUAUAAAAGGAAGUAAAAUAUGACUAUGAAUAAUCAAAACCAAAGGAGUUUAUUCCUCCGAGCGAACAUGUUAUGCAUAAAUGCAAAUAGAGAUGAAAUAAAGUAUAGAAUGCAAGGAGAUCAUUAUUAAGCAAAGACACCAUAUAAGUAGCCGAGAAAGAUGGCAACUAAAACUAAGAUAGGUAUCUUCAAAUGUAGACCAAAGGUUGGAAAACUAUUGGUAUUCUAACUGACAACAUCCUCCAAAAAAGGUUUCUACGCCUCAAUAUAUCAAACAAUUAAUAGAUACUUAUGAUCCAAACCGAAGUUGCGAUUUCUAAUCUAGGGAUGACAGUAUGCCAUUUUAAGAGCUUCUAAUCGAGCACUAGAGCUGGCCAACAUACUUAUAGAGCAAAUUGAACCAAGACAAACAGAAGAGGGAAACAAAUGUCCAUUUCGGAUAAGUUUCACGAUAUUUCAAGGAGCUGACUACAAAUAAUAAGCAACUUUCGAGCGAAACAGAGUUAAUCCCGACUCGAACAAAGUUCCUAUCAAAAUGAAGAAUGAUCUCAAACAAACUGAACUUACACGAAUUUACAGAGAUGUUUCAAAUUCAUUCAGUCUCUAAGCAUCAAAUACGAAAAUGUAGCCAAAGGAAUCGAAUUAAACGACAAAUAAGCAUGGUUUUGACCUCCUUAGAAAAUAUCAACUAGACCAAAGUAAACAACAGAGACACACAUUUUUGAAAUGUAGAUCAUGAAAUCAUUACUGAUCCAUAGCCUUCACAAGUAACUAGUUGAGACAGUAAGGAAAUAAGAAGAUUAAAGUAGUGCACAAGCAAGGGUUCGGGGCCAAAUGAAACAUCAAAAUUUCAACGAGGACGUAAACACACAACCUCAUGGGCUAAUAGGCAGAUUGGUUACUGCUUUGCAGCUAAUAGUGAGUAAAAAAUUAAUACAAGCAACUCACACAGUCGAUAGUCAAACGAGCAAAACAGGGAUAUCUAACCAGCUUUGAAAGCGCCAACUUCCGACGACUCAAAGAAAACCCCGGUGAACGAAGAAACAAGCAAGGCACUCAAACAAGGCCUAAACUCUCACUUUUUUUUUUUUUUUUUGCUUCUGAGAACUUAUCCUCAAAUAAUUGCAGCUGAUAGUUUACUAUAUUUUCCUCUCAAAUUUCAACUAUUCACCAAGCAAAGUUUUCUGUCAGCGAAAAAAAUUUCCCCCUUUUACAAUGAAGCGAAAGAGAAUAUACAUAGGGGUUAUUAGGGUUCGAUUAUUGGGGGAAAUUGAGUGAGGAUGGGUCCAAAUUCGAAUUUCAAAGUCCAAAUCUCUUUCACAAAUUGAGGGAGACACCGUUUCCUGACGAUUCGGCUCCAUUCCGGAAGAGGAAAGGAAACCAAAGGCUUGGAUUGACUCGAGCGUCCUUGGCGAACGAUGUGGCCCCAUCUCAAGGCCACAAGGACGGAUUUGCAGCUGCUGGUACGAAAAGACGAGAGGAACGUUGAAGAAAGGGACAAAGAAUUAUCUUACUGGUCUCUACUUUGGGGCGUUAUUUUUUGGGAAUUGUCACGCUAU